ensembl:lncRNA novel transcript
GAAAAGACUCUUAGAGUACUCUCUUUGAAGUUACGAAAUAAUGACUGGAAUAUAAUAGUAUGCAAUUAGCAGCUUACUUCCUAUAUUUUUUUCUUCUUAGUGGAAGAGAGGCCAUGAUCAAUUUAGUAUCUUGUCCUAGAUCAGAGAUUUCGGCACAGGUUAUAUAUCUGUGACUAAUUUUAAGAACGACGACUGAGAGAAAUACAGAAAGCAGGAUUAAACAUAGAAGCUGAGCUGCAGUGAUGUUGCAGCAGAGGCGUCAGCCAAUCCAUUUGUAAGCACUGAGCCUUGGUGGCCUUUCAGAGUUUUCCACUUCAGAAAAGAGGAGAGAAAAUACUGGAGAGGGAUUCAGCUGUAUCCCAUUUAACCAAUAUUCCUGACAUCUGACAAAAUGAUUGCCUCACUCCUGAAGAAGUUUCUGGAUGGUGAAUCACAUCAUUACUAUGAUUCUGACUAUAUUUUCUACCACUCUGUACAAAUGGAUUUUAAAAUUAGGAGGACUGGACAAUUUUCUAAGACUAUAUACUUUCCUACGUUCGACCCCAAGAGAUAUCAGUUUAAACACAAUGAUUUUUUUAAAUUAUAGGAAAUUAUCUUAUCAGGCCCAAUUGUUUUCAAAGCAAACAAUCUUUAAAGAACUGAUAAUUCCAAUGUGAUUUAGAGUAGUACAAUAUUACAUUCAGACAGUCAUUCAAGUAAAAAUUAAUUUUAAUAAGAAAUGAGCCCAAUAUAUAUAAAAAUAAAUAAGACAAAAUUGUCUGCCAAUAUGAAA